GGGCCCGCACAAGCGGUGGAACAUGUGGUUUAAUUCGACGCAACGCGAAGAACCUUACCUGGGUUUGACAUCCCGGCCGACACCAGAGAUGGUGUUUUCUCUUCGGAGACCGGGUGACAGGUGCUGCAUGGCUGUCGUCAGCUCGUGUCGUGAGAUGUUGGGUUAAGUCCCGCAACGAGCGCAACCCUUGCCCUCAGUUGCCAGCAGUUCGGCUGGGCACUCUGGGGGGACUGCCGGUGACAAGCCGGAGGAAGGUGGGGAUGACGUCAAGUCCUCAUGGCCUUUAUAUCCAGGGCUACACACGUGUUACAAUGGGGGUCACAAAGGGCAGCGAAACGGUGACGUGGAGCGAAUCCCAAAAAAGCCCUCUCAGUUCGGAUCGCAGUCUGCAACUCGACUGCGUGAAGCUGGAAUCGCUAGUAAUCG
rnacentral:rRNA from 1 species